UUAGCCAUGGUAUAUUGGCCAUAUACCACACCUCCUCAGGCCUUGUUGCUUAAUCAUAGCAGUCAAAACAAGUUAACUCGACAUCCAUUGACGGAAAAUUAUCUGGCGAGUUAAGGGCAAAUUAUAUUUUCUCUUGCAACAUAUUUUUCAUUUUUAAGCUCUCAAUCAUUACUAUUUUGAUGGAAAACCACAUUUUGCUUCUUAGCCUAUGUCAUUAGAAAUUACUUAGAUUUCCUUCUUAAAAUGCUUGACAACCUUAUGGAUAAAGGGUUCAUAAAAUAAAUGUGGCAGCUCCUCUCUUGCUUCGAAAACAAAAUGUUGGGCUAGUUUUCAGGCUUCGUGAGCGGGUUUUGAUAGAUCAUUGAGCUAGAAAUUUCAACUGGACUUGGCAACCCUGAGUAGGAGGUAUCUUUGAAAGUGAACGUAGCCUAUUACAGUUUCGUCUUUGUCGGACCUAAAUCUUUGUACGGCCUUGUCUCUAGUCUAGACAAAUAUGUAGAAUUUGAACUGUGACACUUGAGUUAUUAUUUUUGUCCCUAGUGUUGUGUUAUGUGUAUUUUGAAUGAAUAAAUAUGUUUUAGUCAAUUGAAUCGGCUUAAGUGAGACAAAAAGUGCAUUUAGUAGCAGAGAGGUUUCCAAACAAGCUCACCUGAAACAGAAAAUGUCAGUAUUUCUGAAUUUCUUCAUGGUAAGAGAGACCUACACGCAAGUGGCAACAAGUCUGUCAUUUACAUGCAUUUCAUCUAUUGUCAAUAUUUAACCUUCAUCUACAGGUGUAUGUUUAUUUAUUUUUUACAUCCACAGGUAUGUGCUGUCUGGCACUGGUCAAGUAGCCAUUGACUUUGGACUGUGACCCUGAACCUGUACUCCUGAGGUUCUCCAGGAUGGUAGGGUGAGGGGCUGACAUGAUGGAACAUGAUUGAGGAGGCACAAUAUCAGAUGUCACUUUUCCAUUUGGAGAGGGGAUGUCUGGCUGAGGAAGAAGUAGUAUCUCUGUGUCUGAUGAGGGAGAGGAGGCUUUCUAUAUGCCUGAAAGGAGACCCUCCCUGGACCUGGGCAAUGGCCUGAGACCCAUGUACACGGCGCAUGUCACGUGUCCACAGUAAUGUUUCCUGUUUGAUGAUCCUUUCAUCAUCCAUCCUCAAUCAUUGAUAUUUGGUGUGUGUUUAGUAGGCAUGAAAAGGAAAAGGGCUCGAUCAUUGUCCAUGUGAUGUUCUAUGUACAGAGUCCAGCAGCAAAGAACAGAGUCGUACUCCAGCUGCUACUCUGUGGACAGUUGACUGUGAGAUCAAAUCAAAUUUUAUUUGUCACAUACACAUGGUUAGCAGAUGUUAAUGCGAGUGUAGCGAAAUGCUUGUAACCAGAAACAGGAAGUAAGAACAGUCCUCCAUGUUUGAUCAGUCACAGACAGGAUGCAAACUAUGUUUAAGUGUGUUUUUAUGGUGUAAUUAUGUAUAUGUUUAUGUGAGUAUUUGUUGCUGGGUUUAGUGGGAAUAUAAUGUGGAUGUAUGUCCAUUUGUUUACAAAAUGGUCAUAUCUAUGUUUAGGCUCAUGCACCAGUAUGUGUAGUAGUUUCAUCUCCCACUACCUCUCUAGGUCUCAAAGUUUCUUGCAGUGGAACUUCCUCCAAGACCAGAGCUGAUCAAAAACCCAGAUGAGAAGAGGCACCCUGCCCUGACUGUAGACUUCACCUUCAAGGCCACCAGGAAGACACUGGGGAAGGAAGUUUAAGAUCAUGCUGUGGAAGCGUUACCCAGAGUUGUUGUUCAGUGCUCCUCCCCAGGGCAUGGACAUGGUGACUUGUUGGACAGGCUGCUGGAGUAUUAUGACCUAGGGGUGGCCCUGCAGCUCACCAAGGCCCUGUCGGAGGACAUGGGCCUCAAGCGCCUGGCUGACUUCCCCAGGGACAUUUGCAAAAGAAGUAUGCACAUCUUCUUUAUUUUAUUUGAUGAAUGUAAUAUACACUGAGCAAAAAUAUCAACGCAACAUGUACAGUGUUGGUGUCAUGUUUCAUAAGCUGAAAUAAAAGAUCCCAGAAAUGUU